rnacentral:rRNA from 1 species
GACGAACGCUGGCGGCGUGCUUAACACAUGCAAGUCGAACGGAAAGGCCUCUUUCGGGGGGUACUCGAGUGGCGAACGGGUGAGUAACACGUGAGUAACCUGCCCUUGACUUUGGGAUAACUUCAGGAAACUGGGGCUAAUACCGGAUAGGAGCUCCUGCUGCAUGGUGGGGGUUGGACAGUUUCGGCGGUUGGGGAUGGACUCGCGGCUUAUCAGCUUGUUGGUGGGGUAGUGGCUUACCAAGGCUUUGACGGGUAGCCGGCCUGAGAGGGUGACCGGCCACAUUGGGACUGAGAUACGGCCCAGACUCCUACGGGAGGCAGCAGUGGGGAAUAUUGCACAAUGGGUGGAAGCCUGAUGCAGCAACGCCGUGUGCGGGAUGACGGCCUUCGGGUUGUAAACCGCUUUCGCUCAUGACGAAGCUUUGUGUGACGGUAGUGGGUAAAGAAGCACCGGCUAACUACGUG